rnacentral:rRNA from 1 species
UACGGAGGAUCCAAGCGUUAUCCGGAAUUACUGGGCGUAAAGAGUUGCGUAGGUGGCAGAGUAAGUAGAUAGUGAAAGCGUGUGGCUCAACCAUACAUCCAUUAUCUAAACUGCUCAGCUUGAGGAUGAGAGAGGUUAUUGGAAUUCCCAGUGUAGGAGUGAAAUCCGUAGAUAUCGGAAGGAACACCGGUGGCGAAAGCGGCGCGCUGGACCUCUUCUGACGCUGAGGCGCUAAAGCCAGGGGAGCAAACGGG